GAUUAUGGCUCAGAACGAACGCUGGUGGCGUGUCUUAUACAUGCAAGUCGAGCGAGGCAGCAAUGCCGAGCGGCGGACGGGUGAGUAACGCGUAGGCAACCUGCCCCGUACAAAGGGAUAGCUACUGGAAACGGUAAUUAAUACCUCAUAACGCAGAGGCAUCGCAUGGUGCUUUUGCCAAAGAUUUAUCGGUAUGGGAUGGGCCUGCGUCUGAUUAGCUAGUUGGUGAGGUAACGGCUCACCAAGGCGACGAUCAGUAGCCGACUUGAGAGGGUAAACGGCCACAUUGGAACUGAGACACGGUCCAAACUCCUACGGGAGGCAGCAGUGGGGAAUAUUGCACAAUGGGGGAAACCCUGAUGCCAGCAACGCCGCGUGAGCGAAGAAGGCCUUUGGGUCGUAAAGCUCUGUCCUGAAGGAAGAAGGAAGUGACGGUACUUCAGGAGGAAGCCCCGGCUAACUACGUGCCAGCCGCUGC
rnacentral:rRNA from 1 species